rnacentral:snRNA from 1 species
AACUUUGCGCAGUGGCAGUAUCGUAGCCAAUGAGGUUUAUCCGAGGCGCGAUUAUUGCUAAUUGAAACAUUCACCCCCCAAAAUGA